ensembl:lincRNA Gm11211 predicted gene 11211
GAUUAAAGAUGGUGGAGGAGCUGGAAGGACGUGGGGCACUAGGGUCUCAAGCCCCCAGUGUCACCGGAAAAAAAACGUGACUGAAAAGGGAGAUCCACCUCCAACCUCUUGGAAACUGAUGCAGCUCAGCUGGAGACCACCAGACCUUCACAGGAGCUGGGCAUUGAGGGUGAAAAAGGGAUCCAGAUUUAACACUUCCCCAGCCCUCCUCGCACCCAGAGCCUCAGUCCCUCUUCUGUAAAGUGGAGGUUUCAACUUGCCCCCUCUAGGGCUGGUUAGAGGAUUUUGGGGUCCCUGAAUGACAUCCCCCUCUGCUGGCAAUCUGUGACUUGUCCUUCAAGACUUCUCUAGUUGGCACC